rnacentral:lncRNA from 1 species
GCCGUGGUGAAAGAUAAAAGAUCUGGAAAAAAGAAAUGAACAUAUGAAGAAAGGGGAGUGAGUCCCUGUCCUGUGGAAGAUGAGGUGUGAUGGAAACAAAGUACUUAUGAGCUGAGUCCUCUCCCACCUCAAUUCUUACCAACCCCAAGGAACACAAACUGUACUUCUUGGAUGCCCAUCAACUUAUGAACAGACAACAACUGUGGUACAUGCAUACACAGGGAUUUUAUUUGGCUUCUAAGAGGCAAACUUGUGAAAUUUGCAGACUUUCAUUGUUUCUAGUGAG